rnacentral:rRNA from 1 species
GGACCGAACCGACUAAUGUUGAAAAAUUAGCGGAUGACCUGUGGCUGGGGGUGAAAGGCCAAUCAAACCGGGAGAUAGCUGGUUCUCCCCGAAAGCUAUUUAGGUAGCGCCUCGUGAACUCAUCUUCGGGGGUAGAGCACUGUUUCGGCUAGGGGGCCAUCCCGGCUUACCAACCCGAUGCAAACUACGAAUACCGAAGAAUGUUAUCACGGGAGACACACGGCGGGUGCUAACGUCCGUCGUGAAGAGGGAAACAACCCAGACCGCCAGCUAAGGUCCCAAAGUCAUGGUUAAGUGGGAAACGAUGUGGGAAGGCACAGACAGCCAGGAUGUUGGCUUAGAAGCAGCCAUCAUUUAAAGAAAGCGUAAUAGCUCACUGGUCGAGUCGGCCUGCGCGGAAGAUGUAACGGGGCUAAACCAUGCACCGAAGCUGCGGCAGCGACACUAUGUGUUGUUGGGUAGGGGAGCGUUCUGUAAGCCGUUGAAGGUGUCCUGUGAGGGGUGCUGGAGGUAUCAGAAGUGCGAAUGCUGACAUAAGUAACGAUAAAGCGGGUGAAAAGCCCGCUCGCCGGAAGACCAAGGGUUCCUGUCCAACGUUAAUCGGGGCAGGGUGAGUCGACCCCUAAGGCGAGGCCGAAAGGCGUAGUC